rnacentral:tRNA from 1 species
GGCCGAGUGGCGGAAGCGGUAGACGCGGCGGUCUCAAAAGCCGCUGCCCCCAAGGCAUGAGGGUUCGAGUCCCUCCUUGGCCA